GUAGGUGGCAAGCGUUGUCCGGAAUUAUUGGGCGUAAAGCGCGCGCAGGUGGUUCUUUAAGUCUGAUGUGAAAGCCCCCGGCUCAACCGGGGAGGGUCAUUGGAAACUGGGGAACUUGAGUGCAGGAGAGGAAAGUGGAAUUCCACGUGUAGCGGUGAAAUGCGUAGAUAUGUGGAGGAACACCAGUGGCGAAGGCGACUUUCUGGCCUGUAACUGACACUGAGGCGCGAAAGCGUGGGGAGCAAACAGGGAUUAGAUACCCUGGUAGUCCACGCCGUAAACGAUGAGUGCUAAGUGUUGGGGGGGUUUCCGCCCCCUCAGUGCUGCAGCUAACGCAUUAAGCACUCCGCCUGGGAUACGGUCGCAAGACUG
rnacentral:rRNA from 1 species